GUAAACUUAGUUUAAUAAAAACAUUAGAUUGUGAUUCUAAAAACAAGGGUUAAACUCCCCUAGUUCACC
rnacentral:tRNA from 1 species